UCGGACAAGUGGGGGGCACUGGAUCAAUUUCUGGAGCCAGACAGACUUGCCAACAACAAUUUUCCUUUUCCCAAGGGGCCUCGGAGGCCUGGAGUGGGUCCCAGGUUCCUCCUCUCCAGCCUGCUCAAUGUGGGCUCCCUGACAGCGAGUUUGAAAGGGUUAUAGAGAGGCAGAUAAAGGCCGCGCUUGUUGCAGCCUUCCCUGACAGGGCCGACCCCCACGCCAGUGAGCUCAUGCCUGCCUCAUUAUGGCUGGUGCCAGAUUUUUUCCAUUAACAGGUAAUUGAGUAGAAACUAAAAUAAGCGAAGUUUGUUUCAUCCCUUGGAUUUUCUUGCUGGGAUUUGAAAGAAAAACACUUUAGCAUCGUUAGUGGAGGAGUGUCCUUGAAAACGUAUUUAUGUUUUCCAAGUGAUUUGUCGCUUGGUAGGUGUAAUUAGCCUGUCCCCGGCCUCUCCCUUCUUGUUUUUAUUCUUUAAGGGCCACAGUGUUCAGCGAAUAGGAGCUGGUUUCCUGGGCCCUUCGCUGUCAGACACCCUGUUUUAAGAGUGGAUAGGUUAGGUAUGCUCGCCGUAGAUAACUAGCUUUUCUCUGCUCGCUCUUUCGCUCAAGUGCACACGCACCUGGAGAAUCAGCAGGGGCCUGUGGGUCCCGCAGCCUCAGGUGCUACCUUUGAGGCCCUGCUCGCCUCUCCUGGAUGGUGCCUGCCUCCCUCCACCUUUGCACCAGGAGCAGAUGCUGAGGACUGACGGCGCCUGUCUCAGCUCUGGCUUGUGUUCCAUUUCAUGGAGAUUCCCCGUCACUGCCCAGCCUCAAAUUCCCCAUGAAGUCCGGAGCUUCAGAUGAAUUUGUGAGAAAGAGGGAGAGAAGGAGGGAGAUGGGGCAGGCGUGGGGGCAUGGUCUCCACACUUGGGAGUUUUCAUUUCACCUGGAGCACCCGAGCAUCUUGUUUCCAUCGUGAACCCCACUGAGAUUCUGUAAGAAGGCCCUUGCAGAUCCAGUCCCUCAAUCUUGGACUUGCCAGCCUCCAGAACCCUUUCCAGAAAACCCGACUAAUGAGAAAACCAGGGACCAGAUGCCUGCCUGCUCUAGGCAUUGAGACUGAUCAUGUCAAAUGCCACUGAAUUUUCCUCUUCACUGUUAAACCUGGAAGUUUCUUACUGCCAACCAUGCUGAGCCUACACUCAGAAAGGAGGGAAAAGAAAGAGUCGCAUGCAACUUUUAUACAAUAGGUCCACAUAGACCUCUGUGUGUCUUUUCACACUAACCUGAGGAAAUGGAAGAGCAGGUGAACUUUCCACUUGUUGAGGUUGGAGAAGGAUGACUCCUCUGCGUUCCUGGUUUCCCACUUCAUCCCCACCCCACUACGCUUUCAUGCCUGGCACCAAUUGUACAUGUUCAAGCAAUAGUUUCCAUCUCCGGAUGUUCAUCAGAAAGAAUGCUGCAACGGUGAAGGUAGACUGUGCAGGGAAGAGGAGAAGGAUGCCAAUCUUUAGAAGUCCUGGUUGUGCUGCUAUAUCCCUUGCCUGGAAUUGGAGAUUUGUGUGCAGUGUGUAUCUUCUGGUGCUGGUCCUCACCUCAAAGCACCUUGGCCUUUACAUCUGUUCCCAUGGACAGUCCAUGUUUGGUCAAUGUGAAGAACUUAGAGGUGCCAUCGUGCCUUCGGCUGGGGGCAGGGGUUCCCCUUAACCUUGCCAGUGGGGCAGCCUCUGACCUCACUCUUCCCACCCACACACAUUGCCUUUCCCUCCAAACCUUGCUCUUCAAAGAGUCCAGCCGAGCCAUUGUCUGGAUGGUCCAAAUUCUCGAGGUGGCUUGGGGAUACAGGACUCAAACUAAGAGCUGGGGGAGGAGAGAAGUAAAUUUGGCUCCUGACCGGGCCCCCUCAGCCUUCUGGGUGUAUCACAUACCACCCUCAUUUCUCCUGCCCUUUCCAAGCCUGUCCUGUGGGGUCAGGAGAUACAGAAGGGUUGGUGACUAUUAUACAACUUGAUUUUAACAAGACCAACUGUUCUGGGGCAUUACAAAAUACAUAAAAAAUAAAAGUAAAGCUCAAUCUUUGAGGUUGCUACCUGGAAAGUUUUUCUCUGGGUUUGUACUUUGAUUUUUGAGCUGUGCUUUUCUCAAUGCUGCAAAGGAGUUCUUAGGCUAGAUUAAUUUAGCAGUAGGAAGAUCUGGGCAGAAGAGUUAAUGUGUAUACGUGUCAGCUCUCAACCUACCCCCUGAAACUCCCAGCUUCAGAGGUAAGAUAAAAGUCUGCCCCUACCCACAAUUUAGAAGCAGGCUGCCCUGCAAGCCGGAUCCAGUCAACAGAUUUGUUUGCUUCAGCCUGUACACACUGUUGUACAGUGUGUUGAAUCAGUUUCCAACAUUUUUUGAAUCAGGGGCUUUAUAGCAUUUCUUAAGACAUCUGAAGAUCUGGCCACACAGGCCGACAUUUCUCAUAGGAACCACCAGCCUGGGUUGCAUAGAUAGAGCCCCCUAAGUGGUAGGGGGUUGGGGGAGGUUGAAUCUUCUCCUGCUGGGCCUGCAAUCUCUGGUCCACCACAGUCCCAAAGGCCUUUGGUCUUAGACUGCCCACUCCACUUCCAGAUGUUCCUAUCCCGCUCUUGCAGGUCUCUGCACGCUCAGCCUUGGCUGGGCUCAUAGACAAUCCCUGAGUUUUUCCACUUUGUUAUCCAUAGCAUUGGUAUAAGGGUGUCCAAACCCUCAGCUGUGACAACUUUUCAUAGUGGGGAUAGAGAGGAGGCAAGACUGAGGGCCCUGACUCACAAGCCCUCCCAGCUUUUCUGUCCCAAAUAAAGCAAAUGCAUUUUUUCACCUGCUAGAGCCCGAGGGGUUCUCUCUGCCCCCACCCACCUCCUCCUGGAAUACAUAUUUCCUUUCCUCUGAUACCUAAAGUAUUCUGGGGUGAGGAGUAGUUUGCAAGAUUUGGAUUUUUAAAAAUUCUUUCCCAGAUUUGUUGUGUCUAAUUUGGGCUGCAAGCGGUUUUUGGUGUCAAUGACUAACCACUGUUUGGUCUGCACAGCCAUUUCUGUUGAACUUGGAUAGCGCUGAAAGCCCAGUUUCCCCCAAAUAAAGUCUA
rnacentral:lncRNA from 10 species